rnacentral:rRNA from 1 species
AGUGAACGCUGGCGGUAGGCCUAACACAUGCCAGUCGAACGGCAGCACAGUAAGAGCUUGCUCUUACGGGUGGCGAGUGGCGGACGGGUGAGGAAUACAUCGGAAUCUACUUUUUCGUGGGGGAUAACGUAGGGAAACUUACGCUAAUACCGCAUACGACCUACGGGUGAAAGCAGGGGAUCUUCGGACCUUGCGCGAUUGAAUGAGCCGAUGUCGGAUUAGCUAGUUGGCGGGGUAAAGGCCCACCAAGGCGACGAUGCGUAGCUGGUCUGAGAGGAUGAUCAGCCACACUGGAACUGAGACACGGUCCAGACUCCUACGGGAGGCAGCAGUGGGGAAUAUUGGACAAUGGGCGCAAGCCUGAUCCAGCCAUACCGCGUGGGUGAAGAAGGCCUUCGGGUUGUAAAGCCCUUUUGUUGGGAAAGAAAAGCAGCAGGUUAAUACCCCGCUGUUCUGACGGUACCCAAAGAAUAAGCACCGGCUAACUUCGUG